rnacentral:rRNA from 1 species
GAUGAACGCUGGCGGCGUGCUUAACACAUGCAAGUCGAACGGAAAGGCCCAAGCUUGCUUGGGUACUCGAGUGGCGAACGGGUGAGUAACACGUGUGUGAUCUGCCCUGCACUUCGGGAUAAGCCUGGGAAACUGGGUCUAAUACCGGAUAGGACGAUGGUUUGGAUGCCAUUGAGGAGAGUUUUUUCGGUGUGGGAUGAGCUCGCGGCCUAUCAGCUUGUUGGUGGGGUAAUGGCGUACCAAGGCGUCGACGGGGAGCCGUCCUGAGAGGGUGUAGGGACACACUGGGACUGGGAUACGGGCCAGAGUGCUACGGGAGGCAGCAGGGGGGAAUAUUGGACAAUGGGAGCAAGCCUGAUGCAGGGAGGCCGCGUGGGGGAUGACGGCCUUCGGGUUGUAAACACCUUUCGCUAGGGACGAAGCGUUUUUGUGACGGUACCUGGAGAAGAAGCACCGGCUAACUACGUG